CCUGGCGGCGAUAGCGCGGUGGUCCCACCUGACCCCAUGCCGAACUCAGAAGUGAAACGCCGUAGCGCCGAUGGUAGUGUGGGGCUUCCC
rnacentral:rRNA from 1 species